rnacentral:pre_miRNA from 1 species
GUAGUAUUCCCUCCGUCCCAAAAUUCUUGUCUUACAUUUGUUUAGAUACGGAUGUAUCUAAAACUAAAAUGUAACUAGAUACAUCCGUAUUUAGACAAAUUUAAGACAAGAAUUUUGGGACGGAGGGAGUACAAA